rnacentral:rRNA from 1 species
AACGAACGCUGGCGGCAUGCCUAACACAUGCAAGUCGAACGAGACCUUCGGGUCUAGUGGCGCACGGGUGCGUAACGCGUGGGAACCUGCCCUUAGGUUCGGAAUAACUCCCCGAAAGGGGUGCUAAUACCGGAUAAUGUCUUCGGACCAAAGAUUUAUCGCCUUUGGAUGGGCCCGCGUUGGAUUAGCUAGUUGGUAGGGUAAAAGCCUACCAAGGCGACGAUCCAUAGCUGGUCUGAGAGGAUGAUCAGCCACACUGGGACUGAGACACGGCCCAGACUCUGCCGGGAGACGCCGGGGGGAAAUAUGGGCAAAGGGGAGAAGGCCUGACCAAGCACUCCCGCGUGAGGGUUAAGGCCCUGAGGGUUGAAAAGCUUUUUUACCCGGGAUGAUAAUGACAGUCCCGGGAGAAUAAGCCCCGGCUAACUCCGUG